AUUGAACGCUUGCGGCAUGCCUAACACAUGCAAGUCGAACGGGGCAGCAAUGCCUAGUGGCGGACGGGUGAGGAAUACGUAGGAAUCUGCCCUUAAGUGGGGGAUAACCAGGGGAAACCCUGACUAAUACCGCAUGAUCUCUUCGGAGCAAAGAGGGGGACCGCAAGGCCUCUCGCUUCUGGAUGAUCCUACGUCUGAUUAGCUAGUUGGUAGGGUAAAGGCCUACCAAGGCGACGAUCAGUAACUGGUCUGAGAGGAUGAUCAGUCACACCGGAACUGAGACACGGUCCGGACUCCUACGGGAGGCAGCAGUGGGGAAUAUUGGACACUGGGCGCAAGCCUGAUCCAGCAAUGCCGCGUGUGUGAAGAAGGCCUUCGGGUUGUAAAGCACUUUAGCCUGGAAAGAAAAAACUUUGGUUAACACCCAAAGUCUUGACGGUACCAGGAGAAUAAGCACCGGCUAACUCUGUGCCAGCAGCCGCGGUAAAAC
rnacentral:rRNA from 1 species